AAGCCCAAAUUCUGCAGGAGACAAGCAAAUCUUAUGUCUUCUCUUAGCUUCAGACUUCUGGAGAAUUUAAUGAAGUAACCGUAUUUCAGAGUUCCACUCUGAUGUUUUUAAGGCUGAGAGGUGCUUGAUGCUACAGCAGCUGCUGUUGAUGACUAAGGACCCCUUUUUCCUUGGAGAUAAUAAAACUCAGAAGACACUGUUUUGCUUGGACGAGGCCAAAGGGCAGCAGAAAAAGCAAAAGGGGACCUCACUAGAGUUCCGGCAACACAUGAAGUAUGCACCAGAGCUCUUCCUGAAGGAGACAGUUCCUGGUGGGGACAGCCGGCUGAGACGUAAGACAGUGCCAUAAUCCACAUAACCCAAAGAAGAGCACAACUUGGCUCAAACUCACCCUCCAGCAGCAGUGGAUUAGUGCUACCAACUUGGCAGGACCCAAAACCACCCAGGAACCCAGCUUCUGAGCACUUCUGUGAAGAGGCCUCUAGGUGGAGUUGCUGGAAAGACACACCCUAAAUGUGAGUGGUGCCAUUCGACAGGCUGGAUCCCAGAGGAAGAGUGGAGCCAGCUGUCUCUGCUCUUGCUUCCUGACUUCAGAUGCAACGUGACCCACCAGCCGCCCCACAUCCUGCCGCUUGCCUCCCUACUUCAAUUGACAGCACAGCCAAACGGUCCUGAACUUCCUCUUUGGUCAUAGGAACACAGAAAGCAGAUAAUACAGACAUGACUGUUGUGUGAGUACCUGCCCUCAUGGCAAGUUUGCUGACGGCAGAUAUGGUGUGUAAGACAGAGAAAGCCGGGCUGGAGAGAUGGCUCAGUGGUUAAGAGCACUGACUGCUCUUCCAGAGGUCCUGAGUUCAAUUCCCAGCAACCACAUGGUGGCUCACAACCAUCUGUAAUGGGAUCUGAUGCCCUCUUCUGGUGUGUCUGAAGACAGCUACAGUAUACUUAUAUAAAAUAAAUGAAUAAAUCUUUAAAAAAAAAAAAGACAGAGAAAGCCCCUCUUCCCAGCUCAAACUGUCACAGAACCAUGGUCGCAUCCUGGAGCCUGGUGAGCAGCAGGUGAGCAGUGACCAGUGCAACCCCGCUGGGUAAGAAAGGGUGGUAUAAACAUGAGUGAUUAAAACCAGGGCCAUAUGCCCAAUAGGCUAGGUAGAAACUCAGGUCAAGGGCUACAAUUCACAUGUGCCAGGACAGCCGAGCCAGGCUGGUCCCCUCUACCUUCCAAGCUUGGGGCCCUGGAGAUUUGAGGCCCUGAAUGUAGGUCUAAGACAUAACAUGUGAAAACAGCAGUGUUGUGUUUGUACUUAAGACUGCAGUGGGGUGGGCACCUGACCUGACAAUGUCCUUAUAAAAACAGGGACAUUUGGUCUAACUAUGUAGAGAAAUGCUAAUAUAAGUCUUCACAGUGGAGCUAGAGGUGUGAGUCAGUGUUUGUCCAGUAUGCACAAGGCCUGAGACUGGUCCCCAGCACAGCACAACCCAGCCAUUUAAGGCACACCUGUCAUCCCAGUACUCAGAAGGCAGAAGAUCAAGACCAUUCUCAGCUACAUAAUGAGUGGAGGCCAGCCUGGGCCACAUAAGACCCUGUCUUUAAAACCUAGAGACACAAGAAGAUGGCCAUCUAUAAACAUAAGUCAAGGAGAAGCCUGUGGCAGAUGUGUUCCUAGUACCUUCAGAAGCAGGGUGGUCCUGCUGGCACCUUGAUCUCAUCAGACUUUUGCAUUCCUAAAAUAAGACGAUAAAUUGAUAUCUGGCUCAUGGUAAUUUGUUAUGAUUCGCUGCCCAAGGAAAGUACAAAAGGACCCUAUAGAAAAGCUCUGAGUUGGGGUAGUUUUGGGAGGCUCCCAGGCCCCUGCAGCCUGGCACGACUUCAGCUCAGAAGCUGCAGCCUAGUCUUUUGGAGGUGGUAACUAUGAUGCUCUGAGAGGGAAGUGAAUUGUCUAAGGUUGCACAGCCUGUAGGUGCUAGAGCCCAGAACAGGCCCAGGACUUCAGAUUCCAUGGUCAAGCCUCGGGCUUCCGAGAGCGCGCGCGCGCGCGCGCGCGCGCACACACACACACACACACACACACACACACACACACACACACACACUUCUACAUGUACUUCCACAAACGUGCAUGCUCACACUGUAGCAGACUGACUUGCUGGUUCCUCUAUCCCAAACCCUUCUGAUCCUGAAGGGAGUGACUUUGCAGCAGCAACUCUCACCUAUUGCUUUCUCUCAUGUGUUUUUUAAAAUGGUCUCUUCCUUCAGAAGACUGAAGCCAGCCAGACAUGGGCUCCUGUUAUAAUCCUAACCUGGAGGGUCCUAGGCUGAGGCAGGACUGCCAUGACUGUCUUUAAAAAGGACGGAAGUUUCAUGAUUAAAAUUCUGCUCCACUUAGCUGCAUGUGUUUCUGUUUCUCUCUUUUCGCCGUCUGGCAAUAGUAUUAAACCCAGAGCAUGGUUCUCAAACAGUGGGCCACAGCUCUUCUGGGAGUCAAACGAACCUUCUAUAUGGUGCCCUAUAAGACCAUCAGAAAACACAAUUACAUUAUUAUUCAGAAAAGUAGCAAAAUUACAGUUAUGAAGUAGCAAUGAAAAUAAUUCUUUUUUUUUUUUAAUCUUUUUCCCCCCCCCGGAGCUGAGGACUGAACCCAGGGCCUGCUCUAUCACUGAGCUAAAUCCCCAACCCCUGAAAAUAAUUCUUAUGGUUGGGGGUCACCAUACCACAAGGCUGCAGCAUCAGGAAGGUUGAGAACACUGACCCAGGGCCUCAUGCAUCCUGGGCAAAGGCUUUAUCGCCUAACUGUCAGUUUCUCAAUGGGUUCUAAACCCUUCCAUUUAUCAUCUCUUCAUUUUGUUCAUAAUUUUUGAGACAGGGUAACAAGUCCCAAGCCAGCCAUGGCUAUAUUAUUAAAGACCCUGUCUCAAAUAGUGGAGGGUUUGCAGGUGAAGCUAGAGUUCAGUCAGCAGACCAUUUGUCUAGGUGCACAAAAAAGACCUGGGUUCAACCCUUAGCACCCCAUACCAUAAACCCUCAUGAUGGCAUAUACUUAAAAUCCUAACACUUGAGAGGCAGGAGGAUCAGUUCAAGGUCAUUCCCAGCUACACAGAUAUUAUGGGACUCAUUCAGUCAUCCACCAGAAAGGUAGCAUGGACCCUUGCUAUAGGUGCACACAGACACACACACACAUAUACAUGCACACACCAUAGAACUUUGCAGCUCUGCUGUGUGGACAGGGCAUCUGGUGGCUCUAUCUCCCUGGAUGUGUGCUGCUCUGAUUGGAGAACAUCUUUUCAUGGUGACUGACUACAUGAGUUUCUUGUUCACGUCUCUCUCAUCCUAUUCUUUGCUUGCCUUUCUCUUGGGUUUUUCAAACCUGUUUCUUAACACCUCGUAGAAGCUCUCUGCAAGAGGGAGCAUGUUAGCUGCUUAUCCAGUACAUGUACACUGUGUGAUGAGAGACGUAAUUAUACUGACAGACUUGUAACGGAUUAGAACAUAUGAACAUGCCACCAGCCAUCCGCCAGACGGGAGUGGUAUUUGUUGAGGGAAGGGAGUUUGUUGAGGGAAGCAGUCUAUCCACUGACACCCAGAAAGACUACAGACACAAGGAAGGAUCAUCGAGGCACACUAAUACCAUGGGGUAAGGACUGUAUAUACCUUAUUUCCAGGGUAUGGACAUAACCCUCUACAACCUACCUUAGCAACACAGGACAGGGGAUGAGCUCUAGGUAGCUACUACCUACCUCACUGUCUCGAAUACUCUGCCAUGAUGAUCAGAUAGCCUAAGGCACUUUUUUUUUUUUUAAAAAAAAAAAAACCUCUACACUUCAGUUUCUCCACUUACAAAAUGGAGUUAAUAAUAGCUUGGGAAAAUGAUCUAAAGCUCACACUGCUAGGAGAAUGGCAGGUGUGACGGGUAAUGUUAGGACUACCCCAAGUGCCAGACCAAAGUCCCUUUCUCAUUGCUGUUCUGCACGGUAGUGAUGGUCCUGACGGCCCAGCUCAGAACCCUGCAGCCCUCAUCAGCCACAGCAAGAGCUGUCAAUCUUGUGACAUCUGCAGCAUGAACACUGAGGCACUGGGGUGAGGGCGGCACGUUUAUGUGGAUUUAAACACAUCAUGGCAGCAAUUCUCACAAUCACAUCACAUUCUAGUGAAACUGUCUGUCGGGGCUUGUCAAGGCUGCAGCCACCAGCAACAUCUACUGAACCACCCUGCCUUAGGGCCAACAGGGCCCAGCACCCAUUCCCGGCCCUAACCCUGUGCCCUUGGGAUUCUGAAAGCACAGUGUUUCUUGAUGGCAGUUCACCAUCACACUACACAUAUGCCCACCUCCUGCUUACAGCAGUAGCGAGCGCUCACGCUCACGCUCACAGUUCCAACAUGGGGGCCCAGUCCAGUCCUUGCAUUCUAGCCUGCCCCAGAAACAGACUGUAUUAUUGGUCAAGUUCGGGGCACCUUGAAAGAAAAGGCUGUGGUACUGUUGUCCCAUGUUUGGACUUUACCCCUGUCAGCCCUGUUUCCCCUACGGUCUCCUCCUCCUGGACUAUACCAGACCACCCCAGUUUCCUGGGCAGAAAGGGAUGGGGCAGUCAAACAGAGUAUCCAGGAAGUGAUUCUCUGCCAAGCUCCCUGAGAUGCUGGCCCCAUUCUCCUGGAUUUGGCCCUAUUCUAGGCCCUACUAUGAGGAAGAGGUCAACUCUUCUCCCCAUCCUACCCCAAACACCAUCAAAGUCUACUGCUUAACAAGGCCCAUGAGAUGUCCCCAUUAGCAGGCCACAAUAUUUCAAAGGAGAUCUCACAGCUCAGAGAAAGGAAGAUGCCAGCACAUACUUGAGAUGGCCCCGUCUGUUCUCAGAGUUCUGAGGGUGCAUGUGUAGCCAGGACUGGAGUCUGGGCCUGGUCUCUACCCCUCUUCCCUGGACUGAUGGCUCUUGUGAUUUCCGAGCCCAUUCUGAGUUCCCUACUUAUAUCUUUCCCUAGCCACUGGUCCUGCUUAAGAGGGACCACAGUUCCUGGGCUAGUCCAAAACUCAUGAGUGGCCAGUCCUGUGGGUGCUCACCUUUAAUUCCAGCACUUGGGACGCAGGGGCAGACAGAUCUCUGAUUUCUGAGGCCAGCCUGGUCUACACAGUGAGUUCCAAGACAGCCAGGGCUAUGUAGAAAUCUUGUUCUCGGGCUGGAGAGAUGGCUCAGUGGUUAAGAGCACUGGCUGCUCUUCCAGAGGUCCUGAGUUCAAUUCCCAGCAACCACAUGGUGGCUCACAGCCAUCUGUAAUGGGAUCUGAUGCCCUCUUCUGGUGAGUCUGAGGACAGCUACAGUGUACUUAUAUACAUAAAAUAAAUAAAUCUUAAAAAAAAAAACCUUGUCUCAAACAAAACAAAACCCACCACAACAGUUAGCACUCUCACCACAGAGAGGGCAUGAGUCAGAAGACCUGCUGCUUCUGCAGAGCACACAGGCCAUAGUCAAUGGCCUGCCUCUCUGCCUCAGCCCAUACAGAAGAUGAUGCACAGGCCCUUGACCUGGUAGCUGGACAAACUCAUGCUCACUGCCCUGGCUGCGACUGGCCUGGGAGCCCUCUCCACUACUCCAGAGCAGUCCUGGCCCGUGACCUAGGAGGCCUCUCCUCCACUGUGCCCCAGGAGCGGGUUCGGGAGGCUCAGGCUCCUCUGACCUAAUGUGGAAUCAUGAAGGGUCCUUGGAGAAAGCUUCACAUCACGCAGAGGACAGGAGGGGAAGCUGGGCGUGGCUGGGCAGUUCUGCCAUAGGCACAGGGCUCAGGCUCCAUCAGGAAGUAGAAGUCAAACAGACACAAGGACAUAGUACAUGCCAGCUAGGAUCAGCAACAGCUGCUCCAGGUCACUAGAAUUAGAGUGGGGAAGGUUACUACUGUAUUUGAGGAGAGAGGGGAUAAAGUGAGCAGAGUGAACCCAGCCUGGUAAGGGGCUGCCAGAAGGAGCCAAAUUGUGGGACCCACAGCAAGCAAGGCGUGCUAAGACAAUGUGCUAAUACGAGUGAGGGGCUGGAUGAGAAAACUGAUGGUUGACUUGGAGGUGGAGCACUGAUGCUGGACAGCCAGGCUCAUUCUAACAGUGUGCAAGGACUGCCUGCUGCCACUCGGGAGAACUCCUCCCACACAUAGAAGGGCAGUGGCCUGUCUGUCCUCCACGGGUUAGGGGCUCAAGUCCUACACAGAAGUAGAUGCACCUAGAAUCUUCUGACCUGCUAGGUCUAGCAGGAAGCCGGCUCUAGACUCUGGGCCAGAUACACUGAGGACCUGAGUGUGUUAAACAGGCUCAGGACCGCAUCUCCCCUAACAGUGACAGACAAAGAUGGUGAGAAUAAGUUCUUAACCAGACAAUCACUUCAAACCUCGUCAACGUGGGCUGAAGGAGGCAUGGGGUAUCAUGUCGAGUGUCAUACAUGGCCUGGGAUAACAGGGUCCAACUCACCCAUAGGCCCAUUAGUUCCUGGGUUCCAACAUGGGGACAAGAGGAGUCCCCUGCAGCAUCUGUAUUUACUGCUGCAGUACUCUGAGACACUCGGUUCCCUGGUUCAGUACCCUGUCCUUUAUUACGGAGGCUGGGGAGAACAAGACAUACUUCUAGGCUUUCAAAAGAUAUAUAGGGUUGAACAAAAAUGGUGUGGAGGGGUGUAGUGACAUGGCUCAAGAGAGGUAAAGAUGUUUGCAACCAAGCAGGAUGACCUGAAUUAAAUAAAUCCACAGUACACAUGAUGAAACAAAGAACUGACCCAAAGUUGUUCUCUUAUUUCUGCAUGGGCACAUACGUGUGUAUACACACGCACACACAAAUACAUACAUGCAAAAAAAACCCUACUAGGCAUAUGUAAUGCUUUUAAGUGGAUGUAUUUGCCAUUCGUCACCUUGGUGGGUGCUCAGCAGAUAAAUAUGAAUUAGCUAGGGCGUGGUAGCACCUGCCUGUUACUGCGAGCCCUGGCCACAUUGAGGCAGGACGGCCGUGGGCUGCGUGGUUGAGACCAUCAGUGAGGGUCAAUGGUACAGGAGGGAGAUCCUGUGUUGUCCUCCCAACAUAAAAGCGCAAACAUGCGGAGCUAGAGAAACAGUUACUGGCUCUAAGAGCAUGCGCUGCUCCUGUAGAAGACCUGGCUUUAGUUCCUGGUCUCUCUCCCAUGGAGCAGCUCACGACUUCCUGUGAUUCCAGGGAGCUCAACGCCCAUUUCUGGCCCCCACAAACACUUGCACACCGAUGCACAUCAUUUAUGUAUACUUAAGCCUACACACAGAUAUCCACAAUAAAAGUAAGAUAAACCUUUAAAGUGAAAAGAGAAGCAGAAGCUAACCAGAUGACUAAAGGAAGACGGAGAUCUAUAGAAAAGGCACAUUUAUGUCUGCAUUCUAAACUCAAGGUCGGUGCUGAGACGUAUAUUGAAGCUCCGACAUGCUCACAUGCUCAUGUUUUCAACUUUCACAGCCAAGCAGAAUACUCUACCUUAUAGUUUACAAGGUCAACAGCACAGUGGUUUGAAUGAGAAAUGUUCCCAACUGGUGGUGCUGUUUGGGAAGGUAUAGGAGGUGUCACUGGGGUGGGCUCUGACAUCAUCCAGCCUCUUCUCUGUACCCUCUCUGCUCUGUGCCUGGGUUUGAAGAGCUCCCAGCUUCCUGCUGCCAUGCCUUCUCUCCAUGACAGACUUGUAUCCUCUGAAUAAGCCCAAAUAACCUGUUCCAUGUAUAAGUUAUACUGGGCAUGAUGUUCUAUCAUAGAAGUAGAAAAGUAACUCAGACAUAUUGUUUUCAGGCUGGAGAGAUGGCUCAGUGGGUAAGAGCACUGACUGCUCUUCCAGAGGUCCUGAGUUCAGUUCCCAGCAACCACAUGGUGGCUCACAACCCUCUGUAAUAGGAUCUGAUGUCCUCUUCUGGUGUGUCUGAAGACAGCUACAGUAUACUCAUGUAUGUAAAGUAAAUAAAUAUUAAAUAGCAAAAAAGACAUAUUGUUUUCUUGUACCAUGAAAAUCAGCCACAUUAUCUACUGGGCACUCAGGCCUAGGGAUGUAGCUCCUUAGGUAGAAAACAUUUUUAGCAUGCACACAGUCUUGGUUCAAGCUAGGGAGCUACACAUAAAGAAAGCAUGGUGGUAUACAUCUGUGAUCUCAGUACUUCGGAGGUAGAGGCAGGAAGAUCAGUCUGAGGAUAGCCUCAGAGGCCUUAUUGACAUUACUGAUUAAAGAGGCUUCCAUCUAGAGGUAAAACCAGAAAAAGCAAGUGCUGCAGACACACAAAAGAGAGCCCAGAGCUCAGAUGCACAAAUGUCACAGCUACAUCAGAUUCAAAAGCAAGAGGUAGGGCUCGUGGUACCCCACCUGUGGCAAGAAGGGGAGCUAGGGAAAGAAAAGGGAACACUGUCUAACAAAACACCAGGCGCACCACUGUGGUCAGGAUCAGGGCCUCAGCCACGUCAGGGGCCAGCCCUGUCAGCCCUGCGUCAAGCACAAUGGACCAAUGAGCUGACGAAAACAGUGCAGGGCAGAGGGGCUGACUCUCAAACACAGAAACAGUUAAGAAAAAUCAAUACUAAGAGAGAUUAAACUUAUUUUAAGCCUGAACAGACCUGGAGUGACGAACCAAAGGAACCUGCACAAAGGACGGAAUUAAAUCAAAAGAGAAUAAAUGACACUGUGUGUGUGUGCGUGCGUAUACAUAUGCGUGCUGUGGUAUGCCAGGACUCUAUUCGAUAAACAAGUGUUCUACCCUCAGCCCAACAAAACUUUAAUGAUUCUUACUACUAAAGUCAAUCAAGUAGCAAAACAAAAAGCCAUAAUCAAAGAAACACAGGUGCAAAGAGGGGAAGCUAUUCAAUCUUUUUCUUUUAGGGUUUUUCCCCCUCAUCUGUCAGGGAAAUGGGCAGGGAAAAGGCUACCUCAGCCCUGGGAGUCAGAACGGUGGCGGAGGCCCUAAAAUGUGCAAACUCUGUAUCUUACCAUCUUCAUGUGGGAAAUCGGGCAAAGGAAAUGAUCAGACAAACUCACAACUAGGUAAUAAACAGUGUGCCCUUCCCGGAGAGGAUGCGCACAGCUGUCUGGAAUAAUGCCUACCAUCAACAUGGGCUGGCUAUGUACCAGGCGCCAGCCUAGCUCACGUAUGAUCCUGUUGUACUCAGCACACCAACACUAAGACAAGUCAAAUGCGUAAACUGAGGCACAGAAGCUCUCUUCCCCCACAGGCUGUUCCACUGAGGAGGUCCCAGUAGGCUCUAAAGUGAAACAUCUUAGAAGCCACAAGACUCUAAGCUUUGUACUCAGCACAGAGUCCUUCUCAGUCCCAGACCUGGUAGCUGGGCCCCUGUCCCAAGAGCCAUGCCUGAAAUGGUUCUAAAUACUGUAACUGUACAUCUGUUAGGUGGACACAACUGAAAUGACCCUGGAAGACAGGCACAGAGCCAUGGAGUGAAUGGCCUAAACUGGAGAGCUGGGCAGAAGGAGUGUGGAGACAAGAACUCCCUGCCUAAGGGGCUGCCAAUUAACAAAUGAUUCUUGCUAUAGUAUCUGAACCUCUGGUUCUUCUCCCACUGCAGCAUCUGCCACAAAACAAAACAAAAGCCAAGCAUGCAAGCUAAAGUAAGGUGGCCAGAGAGAUGUUCAGUGAUUAAGGGCGCUUGUUGCAGACAGAGGCCUGGGGUUCAGUUCCUAGAACCCACAUACCAGCUCAUAACUGUCUGUAACUCCAGUUCCUCUGGCAGCAGGCAUGCACACUGCACAUUCACCCAUGCAGGCAAAACGCUCCUACAUAUAAAUAGGCAUGUUCUUUAAAGUAUAACGCCAACAUGUUGCACAUCUAUAAUCCCCACACUUGGGAAGGGAAAAGUGGGAGAAACAGAAGUUCAGAGUCAUCCCCCAUCACAUAGCGGGUUCCAGGCCAGCAGGACCACUGUGAGUCUCAAAGAAACACAGCAUAAGGCUCUGAAUUCCAUCUCUAGCAUCCACAUAGAAAGGCUGAGCACGGUGCAUGUGCUGGUAAUCACAGCACUGGACAGACAGACAUAGACAGGGGAGCCCUGGGACUUGCUGGCCAGCCAGUUUAGUUGAAUCGUGAGGCCAGUUUCAGUGACAGACUCCAUCUCAAAAACCUGUCAGAGAUCAACUGAGGAAGGCAUUCAGUGCUGACACCCUUACUCCAUGAGCACACACAUGAGCACAGACCCACAAAACCAAGCCAAAACAUUCUGUCCUUGCUGUGAACACCAGUGGUACAAAAACCCACCAAAAAUCCACAGAGGGGAAAGAGCAGAAAAGGAAGCAGGGAAGAUUCUCCUGACAGUAACUUCAGGUAGGAAGAGGGGCAGGCACGGUUAAACUUCCUUUGUUAUAUGAAUUGGGUAUAACAAACAUACACUUUCAACACAUAAACGUGUAUUAAAUGAGAUUUUUAAAAAGACUUUUGUGUAUGCGAUUACUUUACAUGGGUGCUGGACAGUUAUUCUGUGAAUAACCUAAAGUCAUCUAAGGAUAAGGAACCUCAGUUGAUAAAAUGUCCCCAUCAGACUGGCUGGGGUAAGCAUGUGGCACUUGCUUUUUGAUUCAGUGCACUGUAGGUGGUUCCACCCCUGGGCCGAUGGCUCUGGGAGGUAUAAGGAAGGUAGUUGAGGCCGCGGUGGCAGUAGGAGUGGCGGUGGCAGUGGCGGCCCACACCUUUGAUUCCAGAAGAGGCAGGCAGAUCUCUUAAGUUUGAGGCCAGUUUGGUCUACAGAGCAAGUUUCAGGGCAGCCAGGGCUACACAGAAAAACCCUGUCAUGAAAACAAAAGCAGGUGGCAGGUGGGGUGGGGAAAGGAAAGGCAGAUGAACUGGAGGGAGGCAGAGGACAGUCCACUCUCCGAGAUCUCUGCGUCAGCUCCUACUUCCAGAUUCCUUAGUAACUGCUCUUACCUCAGUUCCAGAUGGGCUAUAAGCUGCACAAUGAAAUAAACCCUUUCCUCCCCAAGUGGCUUUUGGUUGUGGUGUUUAUCAGAGCGACAGAAACCUAACAGGAACAGCCUGCAUGCACAUAUGUGUGCCACGUGCAUGUCUGAUGCCUCCAGAGGGUUCCAGAUCAUAGAUCCCAGAACAGUGGCUCCUCUACAGGAGAACGAAGUGCUCUGAACUACUGAGCCAUUCCCUUAGCCCUUCAAACGAGGCUUAUUACUUACUUUGAGACAGGGCUGGCUGAACUCCCCACACACUUACAGCCUUAACUUUGGUUUGUUUCUCAACUAGUUUAUAACUUAAUCACACAUUUAUUCUAUUCUAAGUUCUACUAUGUGAUUGGUAACCUCUCCUCAGUUUCAUGUUACUGUCCUUCAGCAUGGGGCAAGUCUCCCUUGCCUGACUCUUCAGCAGAAUCAAUCAAUCAGUCAUCAUCAUCAUCCUCAGUCUCUCCUUCCCUCGAUCCUUCUUUCUCCCUCUCUCUCUCCUGGAACUCCCACCUCCUAUUUCUUGCCUCAACUCAUUGGUCACAGACGUUUUUAUUGACAGGCGAUGCUUCCAUACAGUUCACAAGAAAUCUACCUGCCUCUGCCUUCCACAUGCUGGAGUUAAAGGUGUGCACCAUUAUGGUGGCUCAAAUAAGAGUUUUUAAAUAGUUUUGUUUAUUUUACUUACUAUUUUAUGUGCAUUAGAGUUUUGUCUGCAUGUAUGUCUGUGUGAGGGUGUCAAAGCCCCUGGAAUAGGAGUGACAGGCAGUUGAACUGCCAUGUGGUUGCUGGGAACUGAACUUGAGUCCUCUGGAGGAGCAGUCAGUGCUCUAACUCUGAGCCAUCUCUGCAGCCCUCACAUGAGUUGUUUUUUUUUUUUAAGAACACACUCUUCAUGUAUGCUACUGUCCAUGCACUCUGCUGAGUGGAAGUGAUACCCUCAAAUGCUAUGCUUCAGAUGGAGAAUCAAGAAACCAGAUUCCUUGAUCCACCAGGGAAGAGGAGGCCUGAGCCACUGUACACUAUGAUCUACAAGUUUAAACUCCAGGGCAGUUUGAAUCUCAAACACUUUCUUCCCUUGGAGUCAUCUAUGUGGAUACCAUGUGCCCACCUGACCAAACCAUGCAAUUAAGGAACAGGAACACCAGCAAAAGUCCUGGCUCUGUGGCUCACAGUAGGGCCUCAGGGGGGGCUACUCUAAGUCCCAGGCCAUCUAUGUACUAAAUGAAAGGACACUGGGGAAAACCGUGCGGGGUGUGGGUGUGGGGGGUGGGGGGCUCUGCAACUCGGAGGAAGUCUUUGUCUUGCCUUCAGGACAGUACUGAAGACCAGGGGGCAUGGAGAGCUGGCAGACAACACAGCUGCCCCAUCUGCCUGCUCACCUUCCUGUCCUACCCACCCCAGGGCAAAUCCUCAGGAUUAAACUAACUUCAGAGAAUGUGGCAAUACACGCUGAUGUUCAUUCAGGUGAUGAGCAGGAAGGCAUCUGUCUCCUCGAGAACUCAUCUUCCCAGAGCACCUCUGCACCUGGGCCGACAUGACGUGUGCUAACAGCUGGCCAAGGGCUCACAGGCACAUGUCGAGGGGCCCACUCUCAGGCAGGUCAGUCCAUAUUCUUGCCUGCAUCCUCUCGGGCCACCUAUGUCCUACAGAAGGAAGCACCAACUCCCACGGUUUCUUGAGACUUAGAAGACGGAGAUGAGUUACUAUAGGAGAGCAUUAAAAAUGCCUUUCCCAACUAACAGAUGCCCACAACUGGACAGCGUGCAGAGCUUUGGAUCACUCGGUUCUUUUUUUUUUUUAAAGAUUUGUUUAUGUAUGUGAGUACACUGUAGCUGUCCUCAGACACAUUAGAAGAGAGCAUAAGAUCUCAUUACACAUGGUUGUGACCCAUUAUGUGGUUGCUGGAAUUGAGCUCACGGCCUCUGGAAGAGCAGUCCGUGCUCUUAACCACUGAGCCAUCUCUCCAGCCCAGAUCACUCAGUUUCUAAAUGGGAUGUCUGUAUCAAGGCUCUUCCUGGGCUGACUGUAUGAGACAGAGGCCAUGGCUGUGUCCGAGAGAACAGUGUCUGCCUUCCGGAUGCACACAUGGACUCAGAGGCCGGGAGAACACACCCAUGACCUGCACAGGCUCCAAGCAUAUGUGGUCCCAGUGCUGAAAGGAAGUGGAUGCAGGCUCCCACCCCUAAGAAACCACCUACAGUUAUUCCCCAGCAGAAGAAAAGUCCAUUCUCUCCAGAAGAGUGGUGUGAACCGCAUACUUCAGGGCAUGCCCCACACCCAGGAGGAGUCGGCCAGCACAAACUCAAGGCUAUCUGUGUAGGUGUUUCGCCUCAUUUUGUUUUCUUCGGAAGUUUUUCUUAUUGAUCUUUUACUUGUGUAUUUUAGUUUCUGUUUCUGUAGAGGCUUGUGAGUUUGUUCCUUUAUGUUUUAGAGGCAAGAAAAAGAACAUAAAGGUGAGUGGGGAGGGAGGCGGGGAGGACCUGGGAGAAAUGGGAAGGGGGGUAAAACAUGCCCAAAAUAUACUGUAUGAAAAUUAAUUCAAUUAAACAAACUUCGCUCCUUCACCCAUUAACUGUCCCCUAUGAACACAGAGACUCACUUGCUAUAUACUCUGAAUGUCACAUGUAUGUUUUCAGACCACCCCUAACGCAGUCCUGUCCCCUGUGGGUGGGAAGCCCUCCAACCAGCUCACGCAGCUCACGCUUGAGAAGUGACACAGGUGGCACUUAGGGGCAGUCUGCUUCCCUGAUGAGGGAGGUCAAACAGGCAUUGACUCUAGAGCCAAUGGUGUGAAGGAGGUUUUCCCGAGGUCAUAUUCUGAAAGCAUGGUCCUUUCUAACCCCAAAGCAGGUCUCCCAGUUUUGCCCUGGUUUCAGAAAAGCCAGUUUCAUUACUGUCACUCUGGGUGCCCUUGAUACCUCCUGCCCACUGAGCCACCCCCAAAGGGUGGCUGGGCCGGCCCUUACUGUGUCUCUUCUCCCUCCCUCCCCUUUGUUCUCCAGUGUUCUGAGGUCCUAGAUGCAACUGGGCCACCUAUAGGAGUUAAAGAGAUAAAUUGGGAACAAAUACACUUUUCACUGCCUACCAGCACCCCACAUGGGUAUCCUUUCUCAGAAUUCCUAGAACCCUUGUGUGAAAAGUCCUACAUAAGCAGCCAUGCUCCCAAUAGGCCCUCCCCACUGAAAUAGCUAACUGUGGGAACCAGAGUCACAGAUGUAGAUUCCAACCUAUUCCUGACCUACAAGUUAGGCCAGCCACUGGGAAAAGCCUAGCUUGGGCACUGCACAAAACAGCAGACCCUGUGGCAAGAAUCCUAGCCAGGGUGGAGACUACCCUAAACAAUCAGCAAAGUCAGGAGCUCGGGCUGGCGCUUCCAUGUCCUUUCCUUAUGGUGAGAGAAAUCUGAGCAAGGGGGAAAUACAGUCAUAGCAUUAACCCCAGGCUGGCCAGGCAAAGACUGUGGCUGAACCCUUUCCUGCUGCCCCCCUUGGCUUUCCCAAAAUACCUGGCCCCUUUUGGCCUGAACCAAACAGGAAGAAGCCUGGAUCUCUUCCUUCCAGUACCUUUGGGAUAUCCCUUAACCCACAGGCUGGGUAGGAAGGCGGGCGGAAUGGGAACUGCAUGAAUAAGGCUGAGAACAAUCCACAGAGAGCAGGAAUGCUCAAAGGAACUUCUCCCUCUUUCAGGAAACACAAACCCCAGGGAAAAACAAAGGGGCUUCAUGCAGCGGACAAAGCUGGGUUCCUGCAUACACAAUAGCCAUGUGGCACGCACACAUAGACACUUUCAGGCCCACAACCCAAACCGGAAACUGAGCUGGCCCCGUUGCUGCCCCAUCCCCCUACAGACAUACACCUGGUCGGCAUUACACAGUGGGACCCCUAGAGCUGCUCCUCCCAACACGUUCUCUGGGCUUCUGGAUGGGCCAGGCCUACCCUGAGUCUUCCUUCCCCACUCACCGCCAUCAACCGAAACCCUAGUGUCCCUGCAUUCUUCUUUCUAGGAUGCAGCUUCAGCUGCAACCAGGAGACUCACUUUUCCUUGGGAAGGAGAGAGGCUGGGUUCACACUGGUCCCUCCCA